CGAGGAGGAGUUGAGACAGAUUCAGGAGGGCACCUUGUCGGCCAUUUCAUUUGGCCUUGAUAGCUUGACGAUACAUAUAUUAUUGCACCUAGUCGUUUGUAUUUUAUUGUACAUACAUGCUUAUCAUUUAUAUUGGUAUUAAUUAGAUUAUGUAGUAACUUGCAUGUAUAUCUUAUUUUACUCUUGUAGGGCACAAGCAACACGAGUGCGGGGCAGUGUGAUUUAGGAUCUGGCAGUGCAGUUGGAGACAAGGGAAAGAGAAUUCUUGGCUUCACAUCCUUGAUGACUACACCCAGUAUACCUCAAGAUGAAGAACAAGAAGAGAUGCCUCGAGUAGAUGUUGUGUAUGAAAAUAUUGAAAACAUACCUCCUCUACCGAAGACAUACAUCAAGAGUCCUACAAAGCCGAAGAGAAAACGUGGAGAUGAGAGCCGAGCAGUGCAGCGAAGAGGAUUGAUUUUGAUGAUCCAUCAACAACUUAGGAUGUUAUAGAUAGUUUUGGGAUGCUUACAUGUCUAGUUGGCAUGCAUAUUUUGUAUAUGGACAUA